rnacentral:rRNA from 1 species
UGGGGGACCUUCGGGCCUCAUGCCAUCAGAUGUGCCCAGAUGGGAUUAGCUAGUAGGUGGGGUAACGGCUCACCUAGGCGACGAUCCCUAGCUGGUCUGAGAGGAUGACCAGCCACACUGGAACUGAGACACGGUCCAGACUCCUACGGGAGGCAGCAGUGGGGAAUAUUGCACAAUGGGCGCAAGCCUGAUGCAGCCAUGCCGCGUGUAUGAAGAAGGCCUUCGGGUUGUAAAGUACUUUCAGCGGGGAGGAAGGAUACGGUUAAUAACCGUGUUGUUGACGUUACCCGCAGAAGAAGCACCGGCUAACUCCGUGCCAGCAGCCGCGGUAAUACGGAGGGUGCAAGCGUUAAUCGGAAUUACUGGGCGUAAAGCGCACGCAGGCGGUCUGUCAAGUCGGAUGUGAAAUCCCCGGGCUCAACCUGGGAACUGCAUCCGAAACUGGCAGGCUUGAGUCUUGUAGAGGGGGGUAGAAUUCCAGGUGUAGCGGUGAAAUGCGUAGAGAUCUGGAGGAAUA